CCUACGGGAGGCAGCAGUGAGGAAUAUUGCUCAAUGGGGGAAACCCUGAAGCAGCAACGCCGCGUGGAGGAUGAAGGUUUUCGGAUUGUAAACUCCUUUUGUUAGAGAAGAUAAUGACGGUAUCUAACGAAUAAGCACCGGCUAACUCCGUGCCAGCAGCCGCGGUAAUACGGAGGGUGCAAGCGUUACUCGGAAUCACUGGGCGUAAAGGGCGCGUAGGCGGGAUAGCAAGUCAGAUGUGAAAUCCUAUGGCUUAACCAUAGAACUGCAUUUGAAACUGUUAUUCUAGAGUAUGGGAGAGGUAGGUGGAAUUCUUGGUGUAGGGGUAAAAUCCGUAGAGAUCAAGAGGAAUACUCAUGGCGAAGGCGACCUGCUAGAACAUAACUGACGCUGAUGCGCGAAAGCGUGGGGAGCAAACAGGAUUAGAUACCCGGGUAGUC
rnacentral:rRNA from 1 species